UGCUCCCUGCGGUGUUCGAGAAGGGCUGCAAUUUCUCUGAACCAAUGCAUACGUGCAAGGCUGCGAUCUAUUCCGGUGCGGGUGUGCGCGUGACACGUUUCAUGUGCCCAAAGCGCCUUUGAUUGCGGCCGUCUUGGACCCCGGUUCAAGAGUCUGCGGCUCAUCACGGCACAGGCGGGGAGCCU
rfam:Hydrogenophilales bacterium RIFOXYD1_FTLL_62_11 rifoxyd1_full_scaffold_952, whole genome shotgun sequence.